rnacentral:rRNA from 1 species
UACGAAGGGGGCUAGCGUUGCUCGGAAUCACUGGGCGUAAAGCGCACGUAGGCGGCUUCUUAAGUCAGGGGUGAAAUCCUGGAGCUCAACUCCAGAACUGCCUUUGAUACUGAGAAGCUCGAGUCCGGGAGAGGUGAGUGGAACUGCGAGUGUAGAGGUGAAAUUCGUAGAUAUUCGCAAGAACACCAGUGGCGAAGGCGGCUCACUGGCCCGGUACUGACGCUGAGGUGCGAAAGCGUGGGGAGCAAACAGG